rnacentral:rRNA from 1 species
GACGAACGCUGGCGGCGUGCUUAACACAUGCAAGUCGUACGGUAAGGCCCUUUCGGGGGUACACGAGUGGCGAACGGGUGAGUAACACGUGAGUAACCUGCCCACAACUUUGGGAUAACGCUAGGAAACUGGUGCUAAUACUGGUUAUGUGCUCCUGCUGCAUGGUGGGGGUUGGAAAGCUCCGGCGGUUGUGGAUGGACUCGCGGCCUAUCAGCUUGUUGGUUGGGUAGUGGCCUACCAAGGCGGCGACGGGUAGCCGGCCUGAGAGGGUGACCGGCCACAUUGGGACUGAGAUACGGCCCAGACUCCUACGGGAGGCAGCAGUGGGGAAUAUUGCACAAUGGGCGCAAGCCUGAUGCAGCAACGCCGCGUGCGGGAUGACGGCCUUCGGGUUGUAAAACGCUUUCAGCAGGGACGAAGCUUUUUGUGACGGUACCUGCAGAAGAAGCACCGGCUAACUACGUG